rnacentral:sRNA from 2 species
UUGCAUUUGAAGCCCAUGAGGAUGAGAACCUCCGGGGGCGGGGAGGUUCGACUCGAGCGAAGCGAGAGAACGUUGCGCCAGCAACGGCCCGCA